AGACAACAGACAGAUACUGAAACUCACCACAAUACGUCUUUCAUCUGCAAUACGCAUUACAUUAAAAAAACAUCCAACAUGAGGAGUUUAUUUUUCAUUCUUAGCAUCUUCCUUAUUGCUUACGUUUGUGUUACAAAAGCUGAUUUUUUAGCCGAAGAGCAGUUUCCAAUGGAGGAUGUAGCAAGUUCAUCGACGGAGGUAGUGGAGCUAUUCAGUGGCGCGGGAGUCUCUCGUCAACGUAUCUGUACGGCAGCGCUGUGUCGCAGUGUGUGUCAGUCACUCGGAUUCCCGAUAUCCUUCUGUAACAUUCAACUAAUCUGUGUCUGCAGACGUUAAUAUAAUUUCAUCUAUUACAAUGUACUAGAAAUAUAUGAGCUCUCUAAUUUUAUUUUGUUAUCUUUGUACUUAAUGUAUUUUUAUUAAUUAAUAAAGCUAUGAUUAAGAGACUA